rfam:Gloeophyllum trabeum ATCC 11539 unplaced genomic scaffold GLOTRscaffold_00012, whole genome shotgun sequence.
GGGCAUGUGGCACAGUGGUAGCGCGCACGCUUUGCAUUGCGACUGUGAGUGCGAGAUACGCCAUGCGUGAGGCCCUGGGUUCAAUCCCCAGCUUGUCCA